AAUACGCUAGGAAAGGACUGCUAUAACUAGGACUACUGUGUUAUGACCUUGUGGGAAACAAAAAUACCUUAGUUACUUUCUCAUCUUGAUAACAACCUAAAAUCUAUUUUUGUUCACUUGAUAACCACAUAACUGGAUGAAUUUGUUUAAAAAAAAACCUCCCCCUUUUACUUCAUUGUUUUGGAAAUACCUUGACUAAAAAGUUAUAAUCGUAGGUUAAGAUUAAGUCUAAACCAUAUUCUUUGUGGAUUGACCCCAACCUACUAGUUGGGUUCGUUAUUUGAUAAAGAGACUUUAUCGACUUAUUUCAUAUCAUGGUUCACGCCUUAAAAAUCAGUGCGGUUUACUCUUCCUUUUCGAUGCCCGUGGAACUACUGUCAAUGGUUUACUUCUUGGGAAUGUUUAAAAAAAAAGAGUACUACGUGAUUUUUUGAAUAUGCCUAUAUUUAUCGCUUUUGCUUGAAUCGAAUAGAUGGCUGGGAACCCUUUCCCCUGGCUUGGUUGGUUAUAUAAGAGAAUCCCGGGAGAAAGUAAGUUAGACCUUACUUAGGGCGAAAGAUUUCUUGGAUGGUUCAUUCCAGUCUGAAGUCAGUCAAGUCAUGGAAUUGACAGAAGUUCCCCCUUAACCAACCCUAAGAGGGAAUUCUUCUAUUCAUUAAGAUGAAGCCAUUCAGUCAGCUCUGAAUCUGAACUCAAUGAUUGCAAUUCAAGAAGGGCAUGAAGAAAGAAGUGAAGAAUCACCAUUCAUCUUCUUCGAUGCACCGUAUCUCUGUCUUUCUCUGUUUGUCUAUUCUAAUAUGUUGUCCCAAAGCCUUCAAUUUGCCUUUCCCUGUAGGAAUUCCUUUUUCAUUCGUUCUUUUGUUGGGCUGGAUUAUUCAUAACUUCAUAUUUACAAUGUAGGCGUGGUGAUCAGUUGGACCUUUGAUUAAUUAACAUUUAUUUUUGAUUGACCUCCUCCUUACUUUAAUUCACAGGCAUAGGAGGUCAAAUUCCGAUUGUUCUGAAAGUUACUGAAUGGAUCUAUUUUAUUCUAAUUCGAUCUAAGAAAAAAAGAAUUACGCUCUGUAGGAUUUGAACCUACGACAUCGGGUUUUGGAGACCCACAUUCUACCGAAUUGAACUAAGAGCGCUUUCUUAUCAGAAUAGAUAAGUCUGUAAAUAAAAGGAUUCUUUUCAUAACCCCAAUACAUUUUGGAUGCAUAUACUAGAAUAGCAUGAUAAAAAUCAAAGAUUAUGUCCAAUUUGAAGCGAUCUCAAGUGAUCCCUCGUUAAUGCUCCUUUGAGCAGUAAUAGGUAGGGAUGACAGGAUUUGAACCCGUGACAUUUUGUACCCAAAACAGACGCGCUACCAAGCUGCGCCACAUCCCUUCAAUUGUUCGACAGUGUAAUUGUAGAGAAUUCCUGUCUUGUUUUCCACGUGGUUAUUUCCUCCAUUGAUAUAUACAAAUUUCUGCUCAUUUAGUCUUUUUGGUCUCAUUUAACAUAUAAUAGUAAAAGGAAAAGACUUCUCUUAUAGAUUAUAUAGAAAGUAGUAUGUACAAUUAUAUACAAAAUAUAUAAAUAUAAAACCCGUUGUAAAAAUAAAUUAGUCUUUUUCGAAAAUUCUCGGUAAGAAUGGGAUGUAAUUUUUUUUCUGUUUUAAGAAAAGGAAAAUCUUGUUUCCUGAAUCAUUGUACAUUUCAAUUUGAAUUAGGAAUUCUGUGUCCAACUCUACCUGUACCCGAAACCGACACAGGUGGGUAGGUAGAGAAUAACUAGGGGCGCGAGACAACUCNAGAAUACCUAGGGGCGCGAGACAACUCUCUCUAAGGAACUCGUCAAAAUAGCCCCGUAACUUUGGGAGAAGGGGUUCCUCCUCACAAAGGGGGUCGCAGUGACCAGGCCCGGGCGACUGUUUACCAAAAACACAGGUCUUUGCAAAGUUGUAAGACCAUGUAUGGGGGCUGACGCCUGCCCAGUGCUGGAAGGUCAAGGAAGUUGGUGACCUGAUGAUAGGGGAGCCGGCGACCGAAGCCCCAGUGAAAGGCAGCCGUAACUAUAACGGUCCUAAGGUAGCAAAAUUCCUUAUCGGGUAAGUUCUGACCCGCACGAAAGGUGUAACGAUCUGGGCACUGUCUCUAAGAGAGGCUCAGUGAAAUAGACAUGUCUGUGAAGAUGCGGACUACCUGCACCUGGACAGAAAGACCCNCAGAAAGACCCAAUGAAGCCUUCACUAUUCCCUGGGAUUGGCUUUGGGCCUUUCCUGCGUCGCUUACGUGGAAGCCGAAGAAGGCCUCCUUCCGGGGGGCCCGAGCCAUCAGUGAGAUACCACUCUAAAAGGGAUAGAAUUCUAACCUUGUGUCAGGACCUACGGGCCAAGGGACAGUCUCAGGUAGACCGUUUCUAUGGGGCGUAGGCCUCCCAAAAGGUAACAUAGGCAUGCAAAGGUUUCCUCGGGCCGGACGGAGAUCGUCCCUCGAGUGCAAAGGCAACAGGGAGCUUGACUGCAAGACCCACCCGUCGAGCAGGAACAAAAGUUGGACUUAGUGAUCCGACGGUGCCGAGUGGAAGGGUCGUCGCUGAACGGAUAAAAGUUACUCUAGGGAUAACAGGCUGAUCUUCCCCAAGAGAUCACAUCGACGGGAAGGUUUGGAACCUCGAUGUCGGCUCUUCGCCACUGGGGCUGUAGUAUGUUCCAAGGGUUGGGUUGUUCGCCCAUUAAAACGGUAUGUGAGCUGCGUUCAGAACGUCGUGAGAUAGUUCGGUCCAUAUCCGGUGUGCGCGUUAGAGCAUUGAGAGGACCUUUCCCUAGUACGAGAGGACUGGGAAGGACGCACCUUUGGUGUACCAGUUAUCGUGCCCACGGUAAACGCUGGGUAGCCAAGUGCGGAGCGGAUAACUACUGAAAACAUCUAAGUAGUAAGCCCACCCCAAGAUGAGUGCUCUCCUAUUCCGACUUCCCUAGAGCUUCCNUUCCCCAGAGCUUCGGUAGCACAGUCGAGACAGCGACGGGUUCUCUGCCCUUGCGGAGAUGGAGCAACAGAAUUUUUUUUUGAGAAUUCAAGAGAAGGUUACGGCGAGACGAUCCGUUUAUCAUUACGAUAGGUGUCAAGUGGAAGUGCAGUGAUGUAUGCAGCUGAGGCAUUCUAAUAGACCGGUAGACGUGAAC
rnacentral:tRNA from 1 species